rnacentral:tRNA from 1 species
GGCUGGUUAGCUCAACAGCAUAGAGCAGAGGUUUCCUAAACCUCAGGUUGGGGGUUGGAGUCCCCCACCAGCCA